UGAGUGUGAGCCAGGUGUGAGCAAAAGGUGGCAACACUGAUCGAGCGGAAGUUCCGUUCCGCCGCCAGCCGCCAUCAUGCAGAUGCAGCCAGCCACUUCACUUGCGACUUCAGACCUGUCCACAUCGUCCAUGAGAGAAUGGCUUCGUUACUACUUCAUGCAUAGUCUUUGCUCUGAGACCACGCACUGAGCUUGCGGUUCCAUCUCAUCAAACGUUUCUGGCCUCAGGUUGCUCUGCUGAGUUCCACUGCUGCUUCACUUCAUUGCUAUUAGGUAA